rnacentral:rRNA from 1 species
CCUACGGGAGGCAGCAGUGGGGAAUAUUGCACAAUGGGGGAAACCCUGAUGCAGCGACGCCGCGUGAAGGAAGAAGUAUUUCGGUAUGUAAACUUCUAUCAGCAGGGAAGAAAAUGACGGUACCUGACUAAGAAGCCCCGGCUAACUACGUGCCAGCAGCCGCGGUAAUACGUAGGGGGCAAGCGUUAUCCGGAUUUACUGGGUGUAAAGGGAGCGUAGGCGGGGGUGCAAGUCAGAAGUGAAAGCCCGGGGCUCAACCAGAGGACUGCUUUUGAAACUGUGUUUCUAGAGUGCGGGAGAGGUAGGGGGAAGUCUUGGUGGAGGGGUAAAAUGCGGAGAGAGCAAGAGGAAUA